rnacentral:rRNA from 1 species
GAUGAACGCUGGCGGCGUGCCUAACACAUGCAAGUCGAACGGAAAGGCCCUGCUUUUGUGGGGUGCUCGAGUGGCGAACGGGUGUGAAACACGGGAGUAACCCGCCCUUGUCUUUGGGAUAUCUUUAGGAGACUGCGGCUAAUACCGGAUAGGAGCUCCUGCUGCAGGGGGGGGGUUGGAAAGUUUCGGCGGUUGGGGCUCGACUCGCGGCUUAUCAGCUUGUUGGGGGGGUAGUGGCUUCCCAAGCCUUCGACGGAUAGCCCGCAUGGGAACGGGAACGCCCACAAUGGGACUAAGGGACGGCUCAGAAGCCAACGGGAGGCAGCGGUGGGGAACAUGGCACAAUGGGGGGGAGCCUGAUGCGACAGCGCCGCGAUCGGGAUGACGGCCUUCUGGUUGUAAACCGCUGUCGGCUGUGACGAGGCGGGAGUGACGGUAAUGAGUAAAGAAGCACCGGCUAACUACGUG